CCAAUAGCGUAUAUUAAAGUUGUUGCAGUUAAAAAGCUCGUAGUUGAAUUUCGGGAUCAGUACGUUGGUCAUGCCUUGGUAUGUACUGGUGUAACUGAUUCCUCCCUUCUGACGAACCGUCAUGCCAUUCACUUGGUGUGGCGGGAAAUCAGGACUGUUACUUUGAAAAAAUUAGAGUGUUUAAAGCAGGCUCGCGCUUGAAUACAUUAGCAUGGAAUAAUGAAAUAGGACGUUAAUCCUAUUUUGUUGGUUUCUAGGAUCGACGUAAUGAUUAAUAGGGAUAGUUGGGGGCAUUAGUAUUCAAUUGUCAGAGGUGAAAUUCUUGGAUUUAUUGAAGACUAACUACUGCGAAAGCAUUUGCCAAGGAUGUUUUCAUUAAUCAAGAACGAAAGUUAGGGGAUCGAAGACGAUCAGAUACCGUCGUAGUCUUAACCAUAAACUAUGCCGACUAGGGAUCGGAUGAUGUUAAUUUUUUAAUGACUCAUUCGGCGCCUUACA
rnacentral:misc_RNA from 1 species